rnacentral:rRNA from 1 species
UACGUAGGGCGCAAGCGUUGUCCGGAAUUAUUGGGCGUAAAGAGCUCGUAGGCGGUCUGUCGCGUCGGCUGUGAAAAUCCCCGAGGCUCAACCUCGGGGUCUGCAGUCGAUACGGGGCAAAACUAGAGUAUUGCAGGGGGAGACUGGAAUUCCCUGGUGUAGCGGUGAAAAUGCGCAGAUAUCAGGAGGAACACCGGUGGCGAAGGCGGGGUCUCUGGGGCAAUAACUGACGCUGAGGAGCGAAAAGCGUGGGGGGAGCGAAACAGGGAUUUAG